rnacentral:tRNA from 3 species
GGGCGAUUAGCUCAGCUGGCUAGAGCGCUUGCUCGACAAGCAAGAGGUCACUGGUUCGAGUCCAGUAUCGCCCACCA